rnacentral:rRNA from 1 species
UACAGAGGUCUCAAGCGUUGUUCGGAUUCAUUGGGCGUAAAGGGUGCGUAGGCGGCGCGGUAAGUCGGGUGUGAAAUCUCGGAGCUUAACUCCGAAACUGCAUUCGAUACUGCCGUGCUUGAGGACUGGAGAGGAGACUGGAAUUUACGGUGUAGCGGUGAAAUGCGUAGAUAUCUGGAGGAACAUCAGUGGCGAAAGCGACUGCCUGGACCAAUACUGACGCUCAUGUGCGGAAGCGUGGGGAGCAAACAGG